rnacentral:rRNA from 1 species
GAUGAACGCCGGCGGCGUGCCUAAUACAUGCAAGUCGAGCGAACAGACGAGGAGCUUGCUCCUCUGACGUUAGCGGCGGACGGGUGAGUAACACGUGGAUAACCUACCUAUAAGACUGGGAUAACUUCGGGAAACCGGAGCUAAAACCGGAUAAUAUAUUGAACCGCAUGGUUCAAUAGUGAAAGACGGUUUUGCUGUCACUUAUAGAUGGAUCCGCGCCGCAUUAGCUAGUUGGUAAGGUAACGGCUUACCAAGGCAACGAUGCGUAGCCGACCUGAGAGGGUGAUCGGCCACACUGGAACUGAGACACGGUCCAGACUCCUACGGGAGGCAGCAGUAGGGAAUCUUCCGCAAUGGGCGAAAGCUUGACGGAGCAACGCCGCGUGAGUGAUGAAGGUCUUCGGAUCGUAAAACUCUGUUAUUAGGGAAGAACAAAUGUGUAAGUAACUAUGCACGUCUUGACGGUACCUAAUCAGAAAGCCACGGCUAACUACGUG